rnacentral:rRNA from 1 species
ACCCACAAGGGCUCCACAGCAGUGAUAAAAAUUAAGCAAAUAAGCGUAAGCUUGACUUAGCCAUAGCAAAGAGGGUUGGUCAAUCUUGUGCCAGCCACCGCGGUUAUACAAGAAACCCAAACCAACAGAAAAUCGGCGUAAAAUGUGACUAAAACAAUUAUCCAAAAAAUUAAGGAGAACCAUAUACUUAACUGUCAUACGUAAAAGUACAUGAUCAUUCCAAUAUGAAAAUAACCUUAAUCGUAGUAGAACUAUUCGAAUUCACGAUAGCUAAGGUACAAACUGGGAUUAGAUACCCCACUAUGCUUAGCCAUAAACCCAGAUAUUUAACACACAAAAAUAUUCGCCAGAGAACUACGAGCAAAACGCUUAAAACUCUAAGGACUUGGCGGUGCCUCAAACCCCCCUAGAGGAGCCUGUUCUAUAAUCGAUAAUCCACGAUCCACCCAACCAUCUCUUGCCAAUACCGCCUAUAUACCGCCGUCACUAGCUCACCCUGUGAAGGACAUAAAAGUAAGCAAAAUAGUUAAUAACAGCUAAUAAGUCAGGUCAAGGUGUAGCUAAUUGAGAUGGAAGAAAUGGGCUACAUUUUCUAAACUAGAAAUUAUCCAACGAAAAGAACUAUGAAACGAGUCCCACAAGCAGGAUUUAGCAGUAAACAGGGAUCAAAAUGCCCAAUUUAAGCCGGUCCUAAGGCACGCACACA